rnacentral:rRNA from 1 species
UACGUAGGGUGCGAGCGUUGUCCGGAAUUACUGGGCGUAAGGAGCUCGUAGGUGGUUUGUCGCGUUGUUCGUGAAAACUCACAACUCAAUUGUGGGCGUGCGGGCGAUACGGGCAGACUGGAGUACUGCAGGGGAGACUGGAAUUCCUGGUGUAGCGGUGGAAUGCGCAGAUAUCAGGAGGAACACCGGUGGCGAAGGCGGGUCUCUGGGCAGUAACUGACGCUGAGGAGCGAAAGCGUGGGGAGCGAACAGG